rnacentral:misc_RNA from 1 species
UCCGGUUUCGCACCGGCAGUCUUCCUAGAGUCCCCGACUUUACUCGCUGGUAACUAGGAACGGGGGUUGCGCUCGUUGCGGGACUUAACCCAACACCUCACGGCACAAGCUGACGACAGCCAUGCAGCACCUCUACUACUGUCCCUUGCGGGAAGACGAUAUUUCUACCGUUGGUCAGUAGCGGUUCAAGCCCAGGUAAGGUUCUUCGCGUUGCGUCGAAUUGAACCACAUACUCCACCGCUUGUGCGGGCCCCCGUCAAUUCCUUUGAGUUUCAGUCUUGCGACCGUACUCCCCAGGCGGCGAACUUAACGCGUUAGCUUCGACACUGAUCUCCGAGUUGAGACCAACAUCCAGUUCGCAUCGUUUAGGGCGUGGACUAC